rnacentral:lncRNA from 1 species
GCGUUUGUAGUUCACAAGUAGGUAUAUGUGGUCUUCUUGCGCGGCUUUCUGUGACGUUAACGUUACAUUUGACUGUUUGAAAUGAACAAUGUCAUAAAUAAAAAUAGAUUCAGAGCUGUGCAACGGAGAUUUUACGAUGGUAAAACAGCCACAAUCCAGUAAGAAACAUUGCUGGAGGAAGAGUAUUUUUCACAAUGAGGACAUUUUUUGCGACGUGGAGGAGUGGGGCGCCAUUGAAGGAUUGGAGCAGCACUGAACACAUAUCAUAAUCAAGAAGACCCAGCCAGCCACCUCUUCACCUGAGGGAGAAACUGCCCAGCCCUGUCUUCCCCCAGUCAAAUAACCAUUCCAUGUGGCAGCAGCAUGUGGGUGGACAAGUUCCAGGUGCCAUGGGAAAGAAGAGCCAUUGAUGCUGGAUGUUGGAGACAUACCAGAAAGGUGCAGUGGUCAAUGAGGAGCAAGUGCCUGCAGAAAUCACCUUUUUCAAACUCAUCACAUGUCAAUCAUACUCAACCAUCAGGUUUUAAUGUGUCACAGACCUUUGG